GAUGAACGCUGGCGGCGUGCCUAACACAUGCAAGUCGAACGGCAAGGCCCUGCUUUCGUGCGCUGCCCGAGUGGCGAACGGGUGCGUAACACGUGAGUAACCUGCCCUUGAUUUUGGGAUAACUUCAGGUAACUGGGGCUAAUAUAGGAUAGGAGCCCCUGCUCCAUGGUGGGCGGUGGAACUUCUCGGCGGUCGGGGAUGGAUGCGCGGCUUACCAGCUUGCUGGUGGGGUAGUGGCCUACCGAGCCUUUGACGGGUAGCCGGCCUGAGAGGGUGACCGGCCACAUUAGGACUACGAUAGGGCCCAGACGCCUACGGGGGGCAGCAGGGGGGAAUAUGGCACAGUGGGCGGAAGCCUGAUGCGACAGCGCCGCGGGCGGGAUGACGGCCUUCGGGUUGUAAACCGCUUUCGCCUGUGACGAAGCGUGUGUGACGGUAAUGAGUGAAGAAGCACCGGCUAACUACGUG
rnacentral:rRNA from 1 species